rnacentral:misc_RNA from 1 species
GGAUUUUAUUGAGCAGCUUCCUAAAUCUUGGGGGAAGAAUACCAUUUGGGUGAUCGUCUGUAGGUAUACUAAAUAUGGCCAUUUUAUUGGCCUUACUCAACUGUAGCCAAGGAUUUUGUGGAUAACAUUCACAAACUUCAAGGUGUUCCUAUUACCAUUGUUUCAGAUAGGUCACAGGGAAAAGCUGUUUACAAGUGUGAUUUGGAAGGAAUUCUUUAAGCAAUUAG